GGAAUUGCUAGUAAUGGCAGGUCAGCAUACUGCCGUGAAUACGUUCCCGGGCCUUGUACACACCGCCCGUCACACCAUGAGAGUUGGGAAUACCCGAAGCCUGUGAGCUAACAUUUAUGAGGCAGCAGUCGAAGGUAGAAUCAAUGAUUGGGGUGAAGUCGUAACAAGGUAAC
rnacentral:rRNA from 1 species